ACCUUCUUGUAUAAGCACUGUGCUAAAAUUGCAGAAACUAGGAUUAUGUCUUGGUUUUUGUAAUAAUGCUAGCAGACUGCACACAAGAAGAAGAGUAA
rnacentral:miRNA from 14 species